UCCUGGCAAGGACACCUGGAGUCACUCCCAAUAAACCGCUGGAAUCUCUCUUAAACUUUGGAAAAAAUGAUAUCUACAGUAAAUGAGGUGGAGAUGCUGGAAAUUCCUUGGCGGAGGAACAGGUCAAAGGCUCAGAAAGGCCAAGGCUGACAUUUGGAAACACAUCUGGGAAACUGGGCUCCCUGCUGUCAGUGGAGAUAGAUGAUAAGACUCUGGAACAGCAGAAGCAAGUUGCCAGCAUGUAACUAUCAGAGCAAAGUGAUUUGCGUCACCCUCAACCACUGGAAGGAAGCAGGAGUGAUGCUUUUCGUGCUGACCCCCUCAGCUGACCCAUUCACUCGACCAGUUUGAUCCUUGCUUAAUGAAAUAGAUCGUGGAUGAUGACAAUGGACCUGAUGACCCGAACAUUCUGGUCACUGGUGCACUAGACUGAUGACACCAUGCCAGUUGGACCUGCUGGCAGAAAGUGAUUAGAGCUUUGAAUGCUCAGGUAUCAAUGCCAAGUUUGAAGUGACUGAAGAAUUGGAUUCUAUAGCCUGUGUAGAACAACUAUAAGUGAAAAGAUUUUCAAAAAAGCUGAGAAAAUUUC